UGGGGAAUAUUGGGCAAUGGGCGCAAGCCUGACCCAGCAACGCCGCGUGAAGGAAGAAGGCCCUCGGGUUGUAAACUUCUUUUAACAGGGACGAAGAAGUUGACGGUACCUGUUGAAUAAGCCACGGCUAACUACGUGCC
rnacentral:rRNA from 1 species